AGCCUCCUGGUACUUAACACAGCUGUGUUCUUACACUGACUGUGUAGAAAGAGAAAGAAAUAAACCUACCCCCUAUGCAUUUCAGCCCAGGCCUCGUGCUUCAUCUGAAUUGUGAAUAGGGAAGCAUGG
rnacentral:snoRNA from 1 species